rnacentral:rRNA from 1 species
UACGUAGGGGGCAAGCGUUGUCCGGAAUCAUUGGGCGUAAAGAGCGUGUAGGCGGUCCGGUCAGUCGGUUGUGAAAGUCAAGGGCUCAACCCUUGAAUGCCGGCCGAUACUGCCGGGCUAGAGUCCGGAAGAGGUGAGUGGAAUUCCUGGUGUAGCGGUGAAAUGCGCAGAUAUCAGGAGGAACACCGGUGGCGAAGGCGGUUCUCUGGGACGGUACUGACGCUGAGACGCGAAAGCGUGGGGAGCGAACAGG